rnacentral:rRNA from 1 species
UUGAACGCUGGCGGCGUGCUUAACACAUGCAAGUCGAGCGGUAACAGGUGUAGCAAUACAUGCUGACGAGCGGCGAACGGGUGAGUAAUGCUUCGGAAUCUUCCUCGUAGUGGGGAAUAACCUGGGGAAACUCAGGCUAAUACCGCAUACGAACUACGGUUGAAAGCAGGGGAUCGCAAGACCUUGCGCUAUGAGAUGAGCCGAAGUCGGAUUAGCUAGUUGGUGAGGUAAAGGCUCACCAAGGCGACGAUCCGUAGCUGGUCUGAGAGGACGACCAGCCACACUGGGACUGAGACACGGCCCAGACUCCUACGGGAGGCAGCAGUGGGGAAUAUUGGACAAUGGGGGCAACCCUGAUCCAGCGACGCCCGUGUGUGAAGAAGGCCUGCGGGUUGUAAAGCACUUUUAGUGGGGAUGAAAAGCCAAGGGCUAAUACCCUUUGGUCUUGACCUAACCCAAAGAAAAAGCACCGGCUAACUCUGUGCCAGCAGCCGCGGUAAUACAGAGGGUGCAAGCGUUAAUCGGAAUUACUGGGCGUAAAGCGUGCGCAGUCGGUUAUCUAAGUCGGAUGUGA